rnacentral:rRNA from 1 species
UACGGGGGGGGCAAGCGUUGUUCGGAAUUACUGGGCGUAAAGGGCGCGUAGGCGGCCUGCUAAGUCGAACGUGAAAUCCCCGGGCUCAACCCGGGAACUGCGUCCGAUACUGGCAGGCUUGAAUCCGGGAGAGGGAUGUGGAAUUCCAGGUGUAGCGGUGAAAUGCGUAGAUAUCUGGAGGAACACCGGUGGCGAAGGCGGCAUCCUGGACCGGCAUUGACGCUGAGGCGCGAAAGCCAGGGGAGCAAACGGG